rnacentral:misc_RNA from 1 species
UUUCCGUAGGUGAACCUGCGGAAGGAUCAUUACCGAGUUAGGGUGUCGCCUCGGCGCGCCCGACCUCCCAACCCUUUGAUGACAUACCGCGUUGCCUCGGGGCUGCCUUUCGUUAGGCGCCCCAGAGGACCUCAACCAAACUCUGCGUCCUUGCGUCGGAGUAUUUAUUUAAAUCAAUCAAAACUUUCAACAACGGAUCUCUUGGUUCUGGCAUCGAUGAAGAACGCAGC